UACGGGGGGGGCAAGCGUUGUUCGGAAUUACUGGGCGUAAAGGGCUCGUAGGUGGUCAACUAAGUCGGACGUGAAAUCCCUCGGCUUAACCGGGGAACUGCGUCCGAUACUGGAUGACUUGAGUUCGGGAGAGGGAUGCGGAAUUCCAGGUGUAGCGGUGAAAUGCGUAGAUAUCUGGAGGAACACCGGUGGCGAAAGCGGCUCACUGGACCGUCUCUGACGCUGAGGUGCGAAAGCGUGGGGAGCGAACAGG
rnacentral:rRNA from 1 species